AGGGAUCAGCCCAGCGCCGAAUCCCCCGCCCUCGGCGGGGGAAAUGUGGCGUUUAGGAGUGAGCGUGCCGGGCACGCGCAGGACGGCAAGUCCCCCUGACCGGGGCCUAUCCAUAGCGGGUGCGAGGCCCAUAGCCGUCCGGCGCGUCUCGGAUGCGAUCUCCUGGGAGUCGGGUUGCUUGGGAGUGCAGCCCCAAUCGGGUGGUAAACUCCACCUAAGGCUAAAUACCGCCGUGAGACCGAUAGCAAACAAGUACCGUGAGGGAAAGUUGCAAAGAACUUUGAAGAGAGAGUUCAAGAGUACGUGAAACUGCUCAGAGGUAAACGGGUGGGCCCUCGAAAUCCUGUGGCGAGAGGAUUCAGUCUGGCGUCGGGAACGCGCGGUCCGGAAGACCAGAAGGGCUUCCCGGGAUCGGGGCCGUCCGGUCGCGCGCCUCGUUCGGCGCCAGACGCAUUUGCCUCUCGUCCGAAGGACGCUGCAGCCGGCGGGGGAGUCGUGCAAGCGCGACGGCCUGAAGGUCGGGGACAGGCAGGUGGCCGGUGGCGCGCGUCGUCCGCGUCGUCGCCGGUUGUUAGCCGCCCCGUCAGUGGCUCGUCCCCCCGCCGAGGUGUCGCCAGGCCCCACCAGGGGCCGCAUCCGCCUCCUCCAGAAGGACGCGAGAGAGAUCGGAGCUGGCGCAGKCCUUCGUCCCGUCGCACUCCGCCGGAGUGGUCGGGCGAAACGGGCAGGCGCCGCAGGCUUCGGCGAGUCUCGCCGGAGGUCGGAGGCUCGCAGCGAGUAGGUCGGUCACCCACCCGACCCGUCUUGAAACACGGACCAAGGAGUCUAACAUGUGCGCGAGUCAAUGGGUCUUGAACAGGCCCAGGGGCGCAAUGAAAGCGAAGGCAGUGCCUCACGCCUGMCGAGUCGGGAUCCCCUUCCCCGUCAGAAGGUGGGGGCGCACCGACGACCCGUCCCGUCCGGCUCGUCCGGUGGGGCGKAGUGUGAGCGCACACGUUGGGACCCGAAAGAUGGUGAACUAUGCCCGGACAGGACGAGGCCAGAGGAMACUCUGGUGGAGGUCCGCAGCGGUUCUGACRUGCAAAUCGAUCGUCAGAUCC
rnacentral:rRNA from 1 species